CGAUUAGUUGUCGCUGCUGCUGGGGAAGGUAAAGCGGUGACGGCGGCCUCAGGAGCUGUGGGGUCCCCGGCUGGAGGUGGGGAACUCGGCGGGUGUUCUACUUACUGUACAACUUUCUUAGAAGUUCUUUUUUGAUGCCAUGUUCUGUGGCUUGCAUCUAAAGAGGAGUUUGUCUUCAUGAAGAUUCCUAACAUUGGUAAUGUGAUGAAUAAAUUUGAG
rnacentral:lncRNA from 1 species